rnacentral:rRNA from 1 species
GUCAGCAGCCGCGGUAACACCGGCGGCCCGAGUGGUGAUCGUGAUUAUUGGGUCUAAAGGGUCCGUAGCCGGUUUGGUCAGUCCUCCGGGAAAUCUGAUAGCUCAACUAUUAGGCUUUCGGGGGAUACUGCCAGACUUGGAACCGGGAGAGGUAAGAGGUACUAUAGGGGUAGGAGUGAAAUCUUGUAAUCCCUGUGGGACCACCUGUGGCGAAGGCGUCUUACCAGAACGGGUUCGACGGUGAGGGACGAAAGCUGGGGGCACGAACCGGAUUAGAUACCCGGGUAGUCCCAGCCGUAAACGAUGCUCGCUAGGUGUCAGGCAUGGCGCGACCGUGUCUGGUGCCGCAGGGAAGCCGUGAAGCGAGCCACCUGGGAAGUACGGCCGCAAGGCUGAAACUUAAAGGAAUUGGCGGGGGAGCACAACAACGGGUGGAGCCCUGCGGUUUAAUUGGACUCAACGCCGGACAACUCACCGGGGGCGACAGCAAUAUGUAGGCCAAGCUGAAGACUUUGCCUGAAUCGCUGAGGAGUGGUGCAUGG